CAAUAGCGUAUAUUUAAGUUGUUGCAGUUAAAAAGCUCGUAGUUGGAUUUCGGUUGAGAACGGCCGGUCCGCCGUUUGGUGUGCACUGGCUGGUCUCAACUUCCUGUAGAGGACGCGCUCUGGGUUAACGCUCGGACGCGGAGUCUACGUGGUUACUUUGAAAAAUUAGAGUGUUCAAAGCGGGCUUACGCUUGAAUAUUUCAGCAUGGAAUAACACUAUAGGACUCCUGUCCUAUUUCGUGUCUCGGACGGGAGGUAAUGAUAAGAGGAACAGUUGGGGGUCGAUUCGUAUUUCUAUUGUUCAGAGGUGGAAAUUACUUGGAUUUAUUGAAAGAACGAACUUCUGCGAAAGCAUUUGUCCAAGGAUGUUUUCUAUUAAUCAAGAACGAAAGUUAGGGGGCGUCGAAGAUGAUCAGAUACCAU
rnacentral:rRNA from 1 species